UGGGGAAUAUUGGACAAUGGGGGCAACCCUGAUCCAGCAAUUCUGUGUGCACGAAGAAGGUUUUCGGAUUGUAAAGUGCUUUCAGCAGGGAAGAAGGAAGUGACGGUACCUGCAGAAGAAGCGACGGCUAAAUACGUGCCAGCAGCCGCGGUAAUACGUAUGUCGCGAGCGUUAUCCGGAAUUAUUGGGCAUAAAGGGCAUCUAGGCGGCCAGAUAAGUCUGGGGUGAAAACUUGCGGCUCAACCGCAAGCCUGCCCUGGAAACUAUGUGGCUAGAGUACUGGAGAGGUGGACGGAACUGCACGAGUAGAGGUGAAAUUCGUAGAUAUGUGCAGGAAUGCCGAUGAUGAAGAUAGUUCACUGGACGGAAACUGACGCUGAAGUGCGAAAGCUGGGGGAGC
rnacentral:rRNA from 1 species